GAUGAACGCUGGCGGCGUGCCUAAUACAUGCAAGUCGAGCGAACAGACGAGGAGCUUUCUCCUCUGACGUUAGCGGCGGACGGGUGAGUAACACGUGGAUAACCUACCUAUAAGACUGGGAUAACUUCGGGAAACCGGGUCUAAGACCGGAUAAUAUAUUGAACCGCAUGGUUCAAUAGUGAAAGACGGUUUUGCUUUCACUUAUAGACUGAUCCGCCCCGCAUUAGUUAGUUGGUAAGGUAACGGCUUACCAAGGCAACGAUGCGUAGCCGCCCUGAGAGGGUCAUCGGCCACACUGGAACUGAGACACGGUCCCGACUCCUACGGGGGGCAGCAGUAGGGACUCUUACGCAAUGGGCGAAAGCCUGACAGAGCAACACCGCGUGAGUGAUGAAGGUCUUCUGAUCGUAAAACUCUGUUAUUCGGGAAGAACAAAUGUGUAAGUACCUAUGCACGUCUUGACGGUACCUAAUCAGAAAGCCACGGCUAACUCCGUG
rnacentral:rRNA from 1 species